UACGUAGGGCGCAAGCGUUGUCCGGAAUUAUUGGGCGUAAAGGGCUCGUAGGUGGCCAACUAAGUCAGACGUGAAAUCCCUCAGCUUAACUGGGGAACUGCGUCUGAUACUGGAUGGCUUGAGUUUGGGAGAGGGACGCGGAAUUCCAGGUGUAGCGGUGAAAUGCGUAGAUAUCUGGAGGAACACCGGUGGCGAAGGCGGCGUCCUGGACCAACACUGACACUGAGGAGCGAAAGCCUGGGGAGCAAACGGG
rnacentral:rRNA from 1 species